rnacentral:rRNA from 1 species
UACAGAGGUCUCAAGCGUUGUUCGGAUUCAUUGGGCGUAAAGGGUGCGCAGGCGGCCGGGUGUGUCAGAUGUGAAAUCCCGAGGCUCAACCUCGGAACUGCGUCUGAAACUAUUCGGCUAGAGUACUGGAGAGGGUAACGGAAUUCACGGUGUAGCAGUGAAAUGCGUAGAUAUCGCGAGGAACACCAGAGGCGAAGGCGGUUACCUGGACAGUUACUGACGCUCAGGCACGAAAGCAUGGGGAGCAAAAGGG